GGUCAUAGUGAUCCGGUGGUUCUGUAUGGAAGGGCCAUCGCUCAACGGAUAAAAGGUACUCUGGGGAUAACAGGCUGAUACCGCCCAAGAGUUCAUAUCGACGGCGGUGUUUGGCACCUCGAUGUCGGCUCAUCUCAUCCUGGGGCUGUAGCCGGUCCCAAGGGUAUGGCUGUUCGCCAUUUAAAGAGGUACGUGAGCUGGGUUUAAAACGUCGUGAGACAGUUUGGUCCCUAUCUGCCGUGGGCGUUGGAUAUUUGAAGGGGGCUGCUCCUAGUACGAGAGGACCGGAGUGGACGAACCUCUGGUGUACCGGUUGUCACGCCAGUGGCAUCGCCGGGUAGCUAUGUUCGGAAGAGAUAACCGCUGAAAGCAUCUAAGCGGGAAACUCGCCUUAAGAUGAGAUAUCCCUGGGGACUAGAUCCCCUUGAAGGGUCGUUCGAGACCAGGACGUUGAUAGGUCAGGUGUGUAAGCGCAGUAAUGCGUUCAGCUAACUGAUACUAAUUGCCCGUAAGGCUUGAUCCUAUAACA
rnacentral:rRNA from 1 species